AGAUCCUGUGAUCCUCAAGAACCUGGGAAUCCAAACAGGUGAAUCUAAGGAAAGCGCAGAAAAAGAGAGAAGCGCCAUUCCAGUGAAUGGAGAAAGAAUCUGAACUGCCCAUAUGGUGAUUUUCAGGGGAAAGCAGCUCACAAGAGCUGUACCACUGUAGUGUGAGGCUGAUCUCAUGUGGUGGCAAACAGAUGGAGGCAAGAAACUGGUCAUUCAUCUCCAGCAGCUCAGUGAGACUCUGCAGCAAUCUCUCCCUGGGAGCAGUGGAGAAAGAGAACCGGCCUGCCUUUAAGUAAGAAAAUACCCCAAGGACACUGGAUCUCAGCAUUAAAUCCAAGCCUCGGGAAACAGCCUCCAUAAGACAAACAAGGAAAGAAAUAAACCCCGCUGUCCUGCCAAGAGCAGCCACGUGCUUCCUAUGUCUUCAUUCUCGGAGGGAAUGCUGCUCUCACCAGGAGGAUCCAUGCAAGGAAGAGAGCAAUGAAGCCUCUUUGGACCCAACCAGAUGUCUCUGCAGCUGAACAGUAUUGCCAACACCGCGAGAGAUCUAUAGGCACUUAUCUGAGCUGAAAAUCAGAGCCAAGCUGUGGAAUUAAGACAGGAAAGCCUACUUCACAGAUGACGGGGAUGAAAACUCGUAACUCAUCUGUCAGGGGAAGUUGAGCCCCAGCACGGUGUGAUGUGGAGAUGCGGUACAUGACAUCUGGGCACUCCCG